CCUGCCUUUCAGAGGGGGAUAACGUUCUGAAAAGAACGCUAAUACCGCAUAAGAUUGUAGUUUCGCAUGGAGCAGCAAUCAAAGGAGCAAUCCGCUGAAAGAUGGACUCGCGUCCGAUUAGAUAGUUGGCGGGGUAACGGCCCACCAAGUCGACGAUCGGUAGCCGGACUGAGAGGUUGAUCGGCCACAUUGGGACUGAGACACGGCCCAGACUCCUACGGGAGGCAGCAGUGAGGGAUAUUGGGCAAUGGGGGAAACCCUGACCCAGCAACGCCGCGUGAGGGAUGACGGUUUUCGGAUUGUAAACCUCUGUCCUCUGUGAAGAUAGUGACGGUAGCAGAGGAGGAAGCUCCGGCUAACUACGUGCCAGCAGCCGCGGUAAUACGUAGGGAGCAAGCGUUGUCCGGAUUUACUGGGUGUAAAGGGUGCGUAGGCGGAUUGGCAAGUCAGAAGUGAAAUCCAUGGGCUUAACCCAUGAACUGCUUUUGAAACUGUUAGUCUUGAGUGAAGUAGAGGUAGGCGGAAUUCCCGGUGUAGCGGUGAAAUGCGUAGAGAUCGGGAGGAACACCAGUGGCGAAGGCGGCCUACUGGGCUUUAACUGACGCUGAGGCACGAAAGUGUGGGUAGCAAACAGGAUUAGAUACCCUGGUAGUCCACACUGUAAACGGUGAUUACUAGGUGUGGGGGGU
rnacentral:rRNA from 1 species